rnacentral:sRNA from 12 species
AUGAGGAGGAACCGUUAUGUGCAAAGCGAAAAAUAAAAAAGCGGUUCCGACGCCCUGCCGCCGAGCGAAAGCGAGGGGGCAAUACAGAUU